rnacentral:rRNA from 2 species
UACGUAGGUGGCAAGCGUUGUCCGGAUUUAUUGGGCGUAAAGGGAGCGCAGGUGGUGAUUUAAGUCUGAUGUGAAAGCCCACGGCUCAACCGUGGAAGGUCAUUGGAAACUGGAUCACUUGAGUGCAGAAGAGGAAAGCGGAAUUCCAUGUGUAGCGGUGAAAUGCGUAGAUAUAUGGAGGAACACCAGUGGCGAAAGCGGCUUUCUGGUCUGACACUGACACUGAGGCUCGAAAGCGUGGGGAGCAAAC